GUUAAAGGCCAUGUGCUUUCCAACGAAGUGCCGAGUGCGCGGCCAGGGAAAGGCAGGCGGUUUGCCGAUUAUGCAUAAGUUGAGGAAAGGAGCUGCUGUGGGAUGGUACAAAAAGUUCCAGGAGCAACAAAGAGUCUUGAUUUUUAUAGGCAUGCAGGUUUUAAAGAAAGAAAACUGUGUUGUAAAGAAAGAAGAAGUUUUCCACUAAAAAUAGUUGUAAAUGACACAAAGUUCUUCCUAUGAAGGAUGUCAUAACCCACUUUGAAAAGAAGUUUGUUGGAAAGAAAAGGAUCUGAAGUGGGAGAAAGAAUUGUUUAUAUUCAGAUGGAUUUAUAGACUGUCAGAUCUUAAUUCUGUAUUAUUUGUUCCGCAACACUGAGCCUAUAAGCUUUUGACUUGAUGGUUUAUCUAAUUUGAGAGAGCAUAGUCCAGUUUUUAGGCAUUUCAAGAUUAGCAAUGCAGAAUACUGAUAUGUUAACAUGUAAUGGCAGGUAAAAAUCCCACACAAACAGGACACUGAUAAGACUGGAAUUUAGAGAUAUUUCAUUUU